ensembl:snRNA U1 U1 spliceosomal RNA
AUACUUAUCUGGUAGGGUAGAUAUCAUGAUCCUGAAGGUGUUUUCCCAGGGUGAGGCUUAUCUAUUGCACUCCAAAUGUGCUGACCCCUGAGAUUUCUCCAAAUAUGGGAAACUUGACUGCAUAAUUUGUAGUAGCAGGGAACUGUGUUCGUGCUUUCCCCUG